rnacentral:rRNA from 1 species
UACGUAGGGCGCAAGCGUUGUCCGGAAUUAUUGGGCGUAAAGAGCUCGUAGGCGGCCAGUUGCGUCUGCUGUGAAAUCCCGGGGCUCAACCCCGGGCUUGCAGUGGAUACGGGCUGGCUGGAGGCAGGCAGGGGAGAACGGAAUUCCCGGUGUAGCGGUGAAAUGCGCAGAUAUCGGGAGGAACACCGGUGGCGAAGGCGGUUCUCUGGGCCGAUACUGACGCUGAGGAGCGAAAGCGUGGGGAGCGAACAGG